rnacentral:rRNA from 1 species
GACGAACGCUGGCGGCGUGCCUAAUACAUGCAAGUAGAACGCUGAAGAGAGGAGCUUGCUCUUCUUGGAUGAGUUGCGAACGGGUGAGUAACGCGUAGGUAACCUGCCUUGUAGCGGGGGAUAACUAUUGGAAACGAUAGCUAAUACCGCAUAACAAUGGAUGACACAUGUCAUUUAUUUGAAAGGGGCAAUUGUUCCACUACAAGAUGGACCUGCGUUGUAUUAGCUAGUAGGUGAGGUAAUGGCUCACCUAGGCGACGAUACAUAGCCGACCUGAGAGGGUGAUCGGCCACACUGGGACUGAGACACGGCCCAGACUCCUACGGGAGGCAGCAGUAGGGAAUCUUCGGCAAUGGGGGCAACCCUGACCGAGCAACGCCGCGUGAGUGAAGAAGGUUUUCGGAUCGUAAAGCUCUGUUGUAAGUCAAGAACGGGUGUGAGAGUGGAAAGUUCACACUGUGACGGUAGCUUACCAGAAAGGGACGGCUAACUACGUGCCAGCAGCCGCGGUAAUACGUAGGUCCCGAGCGUUGUCCGGAUUUAUUGGGCGUAAAGCGAGCGCAGGCGGUUUGAUAAGUCUGAAGUUAAAGGCUGUGGCUCAACCAUAGUUCGCUUUGGAAACUGUCAAACUUGAGUGCAGAAGGGGAGAGUGGAAUUCCAUGUGUAGCGGUGAAAUGCGUAGAUAUAUGGAGGAACACCGGUGGCGAAAGCGGCUCUCUGGUCUGUAACUGACGCUGAGGCUCGAAAGCGUGGGGAGCGAACAGGAUUAGAUACCCUGGUAGUCCACGCCGUAAACGAUGAGUGCUAGGUGUUGGAUCCUUUCCGGGAUUCAGUGCCGCAGCUAACGCAUUAAGCACUCCGCCUGGGGAGUACGACCGCAAGGUUGAAACUCAAAGGAAUUGACGGGGGCCCGCACAAGCGGUGGAGCAUGUGGUUUAAUUCGAAGCAACGCGAAGAACCUUACCAGGUCUUGACAUCCCGAUGCUAUUUCUAGAGAUAGAAAGUUACUUCGGUACAUCGGUGACAGGUGGUGCAUGGUUGUCGUCAGCUCGUGUCGUGAGAUGUUGGGUUAAGUCCCGCAACGAGCGCAACCCCUAUUGUUAGUUGCCAUCAUUCAGUUGGGCACUCUAGCGAGACUGCCGGUAAUAAACCGGAGGAAGGUGGGGAUGACGUCAAAUCAUCAUGCCCCUUAUGACCUGGGCUACACACGUGCUACAAUGGUUGGUACAACGGGUUGCGAGUCGGUGACGGCGAGCUAAUCUCUUAAAGCCAAUCUCAGUUCGGAUUGUAGGCUGCAACUCGCCUACAUGAAGUCGGAAUCGCUAGUAAUCGCGGAUCAGCACGCCGCGGUGAAUAAGUUCCCGGGCCU